AGAGUUUGAUCAUGGCUCAGGAUGAACGCUGGCGGUGUGGAUAAGGCAUGCAAGUCAAGGGGGUCCGCAAGGACAACCGGCAAACGAGUUAGUAACACGUAGAUUACCAACCCUAUUCAUGGGCAUAGCCUGCCGAAAGGUAGGAUAAUUCCCAAUAGUCCCGUAAGGGUAAAGACGCAAGUCGGAAUAGGAUGGGUCUGCGGCCUAUCAGCUAGUUGGUGGGGUAAAGGCCUACCAAGGCGAUGACGGGUAGGGGGGAUGAGAGUCUGACCCCCAACGGGGAAACUGCGACACGGUUCCCACUCCUACAGGAGGCAACAGUCGAGAAUAUUCGUCAAUGGGCGAAAGCCUGAACGAGCGACACCGCGUGUAGGAAGACGGUCUUCGGAUUGUAAACUACUUUUCUAGGGGAUUAAUCUUCGGAUGACAGUACCCUAGGAAUAAGGAGGUCCUAACUCUGUGCCAGCAGGAGCGGUAAUACAGAGCCUCCAAGCGUUAUCCGGAUUUAUUGGGCGUAAAGGGUCCGUAGGUGCCC
rnacentral:rRNA from 1 species